CCUACGGGAGGCAGCAGUGAGGAAUAUUGGUCAAUGGACGAGAGUCUGAACCAGCCAAGUAGCGUGAAGGAUGACUGCCCUAUGGGUUGUAAACUUCUUUUAUAUGGGAAUAAAAUGUUCCACGUGUGGGAUUUUGUAUGUACCAUAUGAAUAAGGAUCGGCUAACUCCGUGCCAGCAGCCGCGGUAAUACGGAGUGUCCGAGCGUUAACCGGAUUUAUUGGGUGUAAAGGGAGAGUAGGUGGAUUGUUAAGUCAGUUGUGAAAGUUUGCGGCUCAACCGUAAAAUUGCAGUUGAAACUGGCAGUCGUGAGUACAGUAGAGGUGAGCGGAAUGCGUGGUGUAGCGGUGAAAUGCUUAGAUAUCACGAAGAACUCCGAUUGCGAAGGCAGUUCACUGGACUGCAACUGACAUUGAGGCUCGAAAGUGUGGGUAGCAAACAGGAUUAGAUACCCUUGUAGUC
rnacentral:rRNA from 1 species